rnacentral:rRNA from 1 species
UACGGAGGGUGCAAGCGUUAAUCGGAAUUACUGGGCGUAAAGCGUGCGUAGGCGGUUCGUUAAGUCUGUUGUGAAAGCCCCGGGCUCAACCUGGGAAUGGCAAUGGAUACUGGCGAGCUAGAGUGUGUCAGAGGAUGGUGGAAUUCCCGGUGUAGCGGUGAAAUGCGUAGAGAUCGGGAGGAACAUCAGUGGCGAAGGCGGCGAUCUGGGUCGAUACUGACGCUGAGGUGCGAAAGCGUGGGGAGCAAACAGG